rnacentral:rRNA from 1 species
UACGUAGGGUGCGAGCGUUGUCCGGAAUUAUUGGGCGUAAAGGGCUCGUAGGCGGUUUGUCGCGUCGGGAGUGAAAACCCAGGGCUUAACUCUGGGCUUGCUUUCGAUACGGGCAGACUAGAGGCAUGCAGGGGAGAACGGAAUUCCUGGUGUAGCGGUGAAAUGCGCAGAUAUCAGGAGGAACACCGGUGGCGAAGGCGGUUCUCUGGGCAUGUCCUGACGCUGAGGAGCGAAAGCGUGGGUAGCAAACAGG